UCGCGGAUCAGCAUGCCGCGGUGAAUACGUUCCCAGGCCUUGUACACACCGCCCGUCACACCAUGGGAGUUGGAUUCACUCGAAGGCGUUGAGCUAACCCGCAAGGGAGGCAGGCGACCACAGUGGGUUUAGCGACUGGGGUGAAGUCGUAACAAGGUAGCCGUAGGGGAACCUGCGGCUGGAUCACCUCCUUU
rnacentral:rRNA from 1 species